UACGGAGGAUGCGAGCGUUAUCCGGAUUUAUUGGGUUUAAAGGGUGCGUAGGCGGUCCGUUAAGUCAGCGGUAAAAUUGCGGGGCUCAACCCCGUCGAGCCGUUGAAACUGGCAGACUUGAGUUGGCGAGAAGUACGCGGAAUGCGCGGUGUAGCGGUGAAAUGCAUAGAUAUAUGGAAGAACACCAGUGGCGAAGGCGGCCGCCUGGCCUGUUACUGACGCUGAGGCACGAAAGCGUGGGGAGCAAAUAGG
rnacentral:rRNA from 1 species